rnacentral:lncRNA from 1 species
ACAAUUGAGGUCCUUUAUGUUUUUGCACAAGCUGUGAUCUAUGGUGUCCUAGUUUAUGCUAUGAUUGGCUUUGAGUGGACUGUGGCUAAAUUCUUUUGGUACCUAUUCUUCAUGUUUUUCACAUGUUUGUACUUCACCUUCUAUGGCAUGAUGGGAGUGGCCUUAACACCAAAUCAACAUGUUGCUGCUAUAACUUGUAAUGCAUUUUAUGCAUUAUGGAACCUUUUUUCGGGGUUCAUAAUCCCACGAACCGUAAGCGUUGCAUGCCCUUUAAGUUCCUACUACUGCAAGUUUUUUUUUUUUCCAGUUAAUAGAAUCUGUAUUGAUGAAAAAUUUUCGUUCUUGUUCCUUUGGACGCCAUAUCAGAGAAUUCCUAUAUGGUGGAGAUGGUACUAUUGGGCAUCCCCAAUGGCUUGGACCUUGUAUGGAUUGACUGCAUCCCAGUUUGGAGAUAUACAGGCCAAGCUCAACACAGGUGAAACAGUGCAAGAGUUUCUGAGAAAUUACUUUGGUUUCGAACAAGAAUUUGUGGUAGUGGUUGCAGCUGUAGUCGUUGGAUUUACACUACUCUUUGCAUUUACCUAUGCCUUGUCCAUCAAGAAGUUGAAUUUUCAGUGGCGAUAAGAAAUUCUGUAUCAAUUAUUUCCAAUCAGCAUAGUUUGGGCUAGGGUCUCAAUAGCAAACAUGUCAACUUGUUGACCAUUUGGGACGUAGACUCAACAACUUUAAUACUUGUAAAAAAUCCACCUAAGAACGGAGGGAGAAACACUUCCAUCCGCAUAAUGUUAUAUAUGUGUUGUUUUAAAUGACGGUUUUAAAUCUUUUGCGGCCGUUUGCAGCGAUUUUAUGACAUUUAGUGACAAAAAUUCAGUCUCCAGAUGAAGUCCCUUUAGCAGCGGUUUUUUCCGUCGCCAAGCGUUGUAGAUUCAAGAAUUAGCAGCGGAGAUAAAAAUCGCCGCUAAAGGUUGCAUAGAAUGCCGGACUAGAUCCCAAUAGAAAUGUGAGCUUUUACUGUCUUUCCCUUUUGCGCAUUAUAAUUUUGGGACGCUACUCUACUUUUAAAAAGUGCAAAUUUUGUCAGAUGAUCCUUGUUUAUGAAUAUUUCACGCUAAUUUGUUUUUUAAUGCAAUAUUGGGCCUAUAUGAAGCACUUUAAAGGGGCAUGAUCUCUUAUCCCACUUCUCCCCACUCUUUUCUUUUGGCAAGGAGCCACUACAAUAAAUAAAGUGUACAUAUUGUUAAAAAAAUCAGCCAGAAGAAAUAAAAUAGCCAUCAUCGAACGCUUUGGCCUAUGUAUUGCAUGUAAAUACCCAGUGGAACAGUAGUGCUUGCUUGCUGCACAAUAUCGAAAAUCAAAUAUAAGUUGACGCAUGUGUGUAAAGGAACAUUGAGGUACAAUGUAGAAAGACUUAGAAAAGUUACUGGAAUUAGACCUUAAGCAAUUUCAAUUCAACUAUAUCAGUAUAUUUGUGCACUAGGAUCAGCACUUUCAUAAAUUAAGAACAUGCUUUAAUUGUAAUGAGACAGAACAAAAUACGUGCACUACGAACUUAAGAACAUAGCAUGUUGAUUCUGAGUUUUUUUAAUAAGAAACCACAAUUUUAUUUAAAAAAAACCAUAAUGUACAAAUAGGUGAACAAGAAAUCCACCAAAUAUACAACCACCACAAUCUUAAAACUAAGAUACCCCUCUACCACAUUUCACUUGCAAAACUAUAACUCUACAAUACUACUGCUUUCCAAUCCAUAGAUUAGUAAGUAAACGCCCUAAACUCUAAAGAUGUAGAUGCCCACGAGGAUGCCCGAAACCAUAUACGAUGUCUCAUAACUAAUCUAUCUCAUCACCCUUAACAAAAACAAAAACCCUCCUAUUCCUUUCCACCUACACUACCCAAAAAAUACUGCCAACAUAGCACAUCUUCCCAGAACUUCUCCCCGUUUCUUUCCUCCAAAAAGAUUGAACCUCACCUCUCUCCAAAUAAUGCACUGCAUGAGGCAAGGAAUGUCCCAUGCACUACAAGUUGACUGUGAGUUAGCCCCAUGAUACACUCAAAGUACUGUCCUUCCUCCUCCUCAACCAAUGAGCCUUGUAAGUUUUAAAAGGGCACAAUUAAAGAGGUUUUCAAAACUAAAUGAGGAAAAUUACAUGAAUAGUUCAAUGGGUUAUGAAGUCUUAAUAUGUAAUAAAUCUUAGUUAUAUAUAUAUACACCACUCAGUUUAUAGAUUUAUAUAUAAUACUUUAACUAAGUUACACAGCCAGCCACCAAUACCAAUAUCAGUACUUCAAGUUACAUAAAGACAGGUUUAGUGAACCAGCCACCAAUACAUGAAACCAGCUUUUACUGUUUUUGUCAGAAAGUGAUAAAAUUCUUUGCAAAGACCCAAAAAAGGGCAUCAAAAUACACCAACAAAGCAAGGCAGAACAAAACUAAGCCCAAACAGACGGUUUCAAUGAGAUCAUUCUACACCAGAACAGAAAACCAAAAUCGUAGAUACAUUGUAGAAAGAAAAGUUACCAAAAGUGGAGUUUAAACAAUUUCAAUUCAACUAUAUCAGUACAUCAUUUGUGAACUAGGAUCAGAACCUUCAUAAAAUUAAGAACAUGCUUCGAUUUCAAUGAGGAUACAUAGACCAAAAUAUGUGUGAACUUGCGAACAUUACAUGUUGACUGAGUUUUUUUUUUUUAUAAGAAACCACAAUUUUAUUAAACAGCUAUAAUGUAUGAAUCGGUGAACAAGAAAUCCACCACUCUAUCUCAUCACCCUUGACAUCAUCAAAAACUCUCCUAUUCCUUUCCACUCCCACUACCCGUAAACUGCCAACCUUGCACAUCUUCCUAGAACUUCUCCCUGUUUCUUUCCUCUAAAAAAAUUGAACCUCUCUCCAAACAAUGCACUACAUGAGGCAUGAGGAAUGUCACAUGCACUAAAUGUUGACUGUGAGUUAGCCCCAUGAUACACUCAAAGUACUGUCCUUCCUCCUCACCCAGUGACCCUUGUAAUUUUAAAAAGGGCACAAUUAAUAGAUUUACACAUAAUACUUAAGGUACACAGCCACCAAUACCAAUAUCAAAGUCAGUGCUUCAAGUUACACAUAGUUAGAAUCAUAUAUUCACUACUCCAACACAAAGUGGGAAGGAUGAAAAUUUCGAUUUACGACAAGUUAUAUAUCUGGAAAAUAAAAAAUUUAAAUAAAAAGAAGAUGCAAUUUUGAAACCAGUUUCUUUUUUUUUUCUUUGUUUUUUGGUCAGAAAGUGAUCAACUUCAUUGCAAAGACUAAAAAAAGGGCAUCAAAAUACAUCAACAAAACUAAGCUUAAACAGACUGUUUCAAUGAGAUCAUUCUACCCCAGAACAGAAAACUAACAUCUUGCCGACUUUGUCCAAAACAGAAACCAGUCAGAUAUCUGAGAAACAAAAAGGGUGCAACUUUUCUAGUGAAAAAGCCAGAUUUUAUACCUUGGCUUGGACAAAUUGAGACGAUGGUACAGUGCUUUUCGCCUCUCUUCACUUAUCUGAUAGAAGUGUCAAGGCGAUUUGGUACCGUUGGAUUGGAGCCCAACCGACGUCGCGGUGGAGAAUUAGGUUUAGGGAUUUCGUUUUGAUCGAUUUUGGGGAUUACAGCAAUUGGGUUUUUCUUGACCAAGAAAAAAAAAGAGAAGAAAUCAGGUUUUCUGGUGACCCAAAGACCCAAGGAUAAGGCCGUAUUCAGUAAUGAGCCCAUUUCAUGUUUGGACUUUUGACUUUUGACCCACAGUAUAGAAAACCAAACUGUUGGUUUAGGUUUUUUUUCCCCCCAUUUUAUUUUUUAUAUAGUGGCUUACUUACUCCUCUUUUUUUCAUGGAUAUAUGUUUUUAAUUUUCCUAAAUAUAAUUUCAGCAAGUUUGUUUCAAUAAAUAAUAAGAAAUUUGUGUUAGUAAUUCCUUAACAACAUAGAUAGGUAGUAAAAUACGUUAGCAAAAUUUCACCAAAAGUUUUUAUGAAAUAUUCGGUCAUGAUAAAGUAUUUUAAUACUAAUUAAUUUUUUUAAAAAAAUUAAUAUGUAGUAUUGUAUUCAAUAAUAUGUGAAAAACACGUGAAUUUUGUCCAUUUUAUUUAUAAAUUUAUAAAAGUAUAUGUAUUAAAUGUGAAUAAUACAUUUGUGUAUAAGAUGUGUAUAGUAUAUUUGAUUUUGAAAAAACCGGUAUUUUUACGAUAUCUUUGGGAAGCGUAUGUCUACAAUACGUGUACUAUACCCAAAUUUAUUAACUAAUUCCAAUAUUGGCCCAAAAAAUAAGACAUUACAAUGAUCCAUUGAGGCAAAAGUCCAAAAAAGUUAGAUAAUAGUAAGUUUGGAAAACAAGAAAAGAAGUUGAACUAGUGGCGCUGAAUCAUUGAGGCAAACAUUAGUAGGGUGACAUGAUGAAAAUGGUCUCUCAACUGAACUGAGCAGCGAAGGACGUUUGAAUAAUACAUAGCACAGCACCUGCAUACCAUGCCUAUAAAUAAGCCUUGUGGUCACAUGAAGGUUGAACACGACAUCUCCAUCAACACUGGAAAAUUAAGAAAAUUGCUGAAAGAAACUCUCCACUUAAGUAAAAUUUGUUAGUGAAAGUAAUUCGUUUCUCGUUUCAGGAGAAACAAAUCACUUCCUGAAGAAUUGAGUAUUGCUGCUCCUAUCCUCAAUCAUUUUUCACUCGAUGCAUGUGGCUUGCUUAUGGAAACAAUAUUGAUCGUAUUGGCGAAAUCCGACGUAGAAUGCCAUAGUUAAGUUUGAUCUACAUAACCAUCAUACAAAGCCAUAAGUAAAUACAUGUAACAGAAGUUGAUGUUCUUGCAUAUGUAGUUUUGAAUCUGUUAAUUCCAUGACAAAGCCGCACCGCAAGAUCUCUUUGAUGCAGUUGGUUCUAUCUGUGUAUGCCCAUGUUCUAUCUAUGCAGUUGAAUGAAUGUGCGUUUAUAGAGAACAGGCUGCUAGAAUGUACAUACAUGUCUUUGCACAGGUGACUUCCCAAGCAUUAUAUGCACCAUGGAACCUGCUUUAUCAGAGUGCAACUGCUUCAUCUAUAACUUGGUAGCCACAUAAACUCUACCUAUAAGAAGUUUGUUUUUGAAGGAACAAAAGAAGCAAUGAUUUUUGACCAAUUCUAUUUAAUCUUUUGUUCAUGUUUAAUGAAUGGUUUUGCACAACUAUACAAUCUGUUACUUGUAUUGAUGGUAAAUUACUUAUUCUUCCGAGAUUUACUAAAUUGCAUGUGGUAUUCUGGUGGAAAGAAAGUGAAUGGCAUCCGUAAAUCAGAAGGAAAAGGACUUCAACCGGCAAAACGUAUUUUAAUUGACGAUUUUCUAUCUUUCGCUGCGGUUUGCGACGGUUUUCUGUUAGUGACAAAUUUAUGGAAAUUUAGCUACGGUUUUUUUCGUCGCAAAGCGCUGUUAAAAAUCAUUCUGCGACGGUUACUCAAAAACCGCCGCUAAAAGUUGCAAGCAGUGUUUAAUUUCUCCCCUCCUCUGAAGGUCGUUGUUUGUGUAAAUUAAAAAUUUUAUUUAGCUGCUGUUUUAAGAAAAUUGUUGGACACAUAAAUUCUGAGGUGUACAAAUUGUUGUGAUAAAUGUUAUCUAUAUUGUUGUAAAUUAAGGGGGAAGAAAUAAAAUAGUCGCCAUCCAUCAAUAAGUGAUUCACUAUAAAUGCCCGCAUCAUUUGGUUUCCUCUCUGGCUUGCAUGUAAACAGUAAAUGCUCACUCACGGUAGUAAGACUUGCCUGCCAAAGAAUACCACCAUUAGAAAUAAAAUGAAAGGCAAUGCAUGUGCAAACGAACAUCAUUGCAAGACUAGGGAAAAUGGCAGAAAUGACGUUUAAACAUUUUCAACUCAAUCAUUUGUGCACUAGAUUUGGAAAUAAGACAUGACGAACUUAAAAUAAUGUCCUUCCCCUUCUCUGCCAACGACUUUAAUGUAACGUUCUUCCCCUUUCAUAGACUUUCUGAUGCCUAAUACGGCCAGAACAUGGUUAAAUAUAUGUUUUCCUAGCUGCAUUAAGAUAAAUUUGAUCCAAUCUUGAAAUAGAAAACUUCGAAGGAUAAUUAAGUAGAUAGCUUAAACAUAAAGAAUUAUUCUACUAAUUUUUAGUACAUAUUUAAGUUUAUAACCCUACCUUUUUGUGUCUAUCAGACCAGACACAGAUAAAGCCCACUAAGAAGGUAGCAUAUAUACAUACAAACGAAGUGUUUUAACUGAAAUUCGAACUCAACAAUAGGACUGAAGUUUGCACCAAACCCAAUUAUCGAAUACAUAAUUGGAGUCCAGCCUAGAGAAUCAAUCUUAGCCCCACAAAAUUUAAAAUUAAGGUUUUAAAUGGACCUACCAUAACAUUUAUCUUAGAGAUUAGCCAACCCUUCUGCAUGCUAUUAAGGAAACUAUAGGAGCUUUCAUACAACUCUACCAACAAGUCACACACCACAAACCCUUGAACUGAGGGUUGCAACAGGAUUGUUUAAAGAAAAAAAAAAACUUGGCAUCAUCUGGUCAGAUUAAUCCCAAGUUCUGUUCUUCUUCGGCUGUGUAUUCGAACGAAUAUCUUUUUAUGAAAUAAAUCUUAGUUACAUACUUAUCAUUUCAUUUACAGACUCAUAUCUGAUAUUCUUAAUCAGAUGUACAACCACCAAUACCAAUACCCAACUCAAUUCUUCAAAACAUAUUUAGAAUUCUACAUUCACUACCCCCAACAAAAAGUGGGAAGGGGGGGCUAUAUAAGCCUGUGGAUAUGUAUAUAUAUUUUCUUAAUGCAAUCAACUACAGGUUCUAAUCCUACUUCAACUUCAUUCUCUACAUUCCUCUUCAACCAAAUGCACCUGGUUCUUCUGUACCAUCCUUACCUAUUGAACCUAUUCAAACUUCAGUUUCUUCACCACCCACACAUCUACAGAUCAAUUCUCAUCCUAAUCUUCUCUCUUUCACUUCAUGAUUCCAAAUUUUGAAUCUAUUUCACAAAACCCUUAACCAAAAUAAAGAUGAUAACGAAAAAAGAUGCAAGCUUGAAUUUUUUACAAAGAUCGACAUGUGGAAAAAGAAAAGGAGAAGAGCUGCAAAUUUAUCAACCGAUUAGAUAUCUAUAGCAAAGUUCAGUGCUUACCCCAUCUUUAAGAAUUCGACGGAGGUCUCACGGCGGCGACGGUAGUGCAAGCAACGUCGUGGUCUUGGGAAUUAGGUUUAGGGAUUUUGCUUUUGUCGAAUGGAUUUGGGGAUUCAAGUUCUGAAGAGGCAAACAGGGCCGAUCGACGAUAGCCGUUUGUGAUCAGAUUUGGGCCACAAUGGCAGGCCUAAUAUUGUAAAUUUUCUCUGUAUUGAGUAAUGAGCCCAUUUCUUGUUUGGACUUUCGACUUUCGACCCACAAAUAUUUAAAAACAAACUAUUGGUACAAGUGAUUGUCUAGGGUUACUCACUCACAAACUAUCAAUAUAUCAUGGGAGUUCGAACUUAAGACUGGUAAUUUGCAAGUCAAUGCCGUUUUUCACUGAACUAGACCCUUUAGUUGUUCAAAUUUUCUUUCUUUACCAGAAGUGAUGGCCAUAACUUUUAUCCCCUUUUUGUUCAUUGGUUUUUUAAUUUAUUUUUAUGGUUUAAAAUUCCUUUAUAUUAUAUAAAUAAAUACAUAACUAUUUAGUCUUAAUAGUUGUUUACAUAACGAAAAAAACUACUUGGUGUAUGUGUGAACGCGAACCAAAAAAUUAGUAUGCAAAAAAUAUUGACUGAAUUUAUGUUCGGAUUAAAAUAUCCUCCUUACUUUGGCCAUGUUUGGCUUACCAUAACUUAUAGAAAACCAAAGCUUGGAUAGAAAUGAUAAAGCAAUACCACAAGAUGUCAAUCUUUUUUUAAAUUCUAUGUCUCCAUUUAUUCUGGGUCCACAGUGUAGGUAAAGCAUUACCAUUUAGGUUUAUGUUUUUGCACCGAACCAAACACGCUGCUUGCCCUUAAUUUGUAAGGAAGGUUUUUUAGUCCUUCAAGAAUAAGUGUUUCUAUUCUACAAGUAAAGUUAUUACGUUGGUGGGGGACACAACAUGAUUCCUCUAUCUCAUUCUCAACCAUAAGUUACAUGUGACAAAGAUGUCUUCUGUCUUUCUUCUUUCCCAUAGGAAGUAAUUUCAUGCUGAGGAUAAAGUAAUGUCAAAUACUUCACCUCUCCCACUAGUCAGGGAGAGAAAGUAACCAUAUAUUUAGAUGAUAAAGACAAUAAAUGCAAUAGCAAAAUAAUAGAGAUACUAAAGGAGAGAGAAAUUUUUUUUAAAGAAGUUUAAAUGGACAAAAAUGCCCUUAUUUAUUUUUGAAUUUUCAAAAGAAUCCUUUAUAUUUGCAUGUCUUUGGUUUGAAAGUUGAGAGGUUUUUCUGUCUUUUUUGAAAAAACUUUUGCUUUUUCUAAAAGUGAAAGUUUUUUUGUGGCUAAAACCUAAAUUUACUUUCCUUUUAAGGAAUAACAGAUCUCAGAGGUAAUCUCAGAACUCUUCCAAGGAAUAACUGUUUGGUUUCAUCAAUUCCUUUUCUUUGAGCCAAGCGAUAUUAAAGGAGGGGGGAUUUGAGCACAUAAACUGAAGUGCAGGGAUAACUGCUCUUAAUUACAUAAGUUAUAAGCCCUUUGCCUUGGUUUCAUUAAUUCUUUUAAUACAAGCGAUAUUGGGGAGGAUGGAUUUUUUAACACAAGCCCCUUACCUUGGUUUCAUUAAAAUUGAUAAAGGUGACAUCAACGUGGUCAGAUCAAAUACUUGAUGAGAAUGAUCCAUCAACUUGCAAUGUGGUCAAUCAAAUCUGGUCGGAUAGUGCGGUUCCAAUAGAUCUUUGAUUCUUCACGUUAAUACUUGUGAUUAAAUGCAAACUGGAAUUUCUUAAAAAAGGCAAACUCAAAAGUGAUUAAACGCAUAAAGCAUCUUGGCCUCACCACCCUUAACUGGUGGUGAGCAUUGUCACCACAUUACUUCCAGUUGUAGUUGCAUGAGUGUGAUUUAAUCUACAUAUUACAUAAAUCUCAAAAGCUAAAAUUAUCCAACGACAAUUAAUGUGGUGGCCAAAAAUAUUUUCGGGUGAUGUCAACCCUUAUGUCACGUAAAGACCUAUCUCCAUAUAUAACAAUUCUCCUUGCAUUGCUAAAAAGAAAAGCAAAAACUUUGUAGCAGUUUUUCAGUGGAUAUGAGCCAUGCCAAUGAAGUUGAUGCGAAACAGCUUGGUUUGCAAGAAAGGAAAGGCUUGCUUGAGAGGCUGGUCGGAGCAGUGGAAGAGGGUCAAGAGAGCUUCUUGUUGAGGCUCAAGAGCCGCAUUGAUAGGUAAGAGUAAACAAUAUUCUCUAGUCUACAUGCAUAUCAUUCUAGAUUUUCUUAAAUUUUCUUUGUUUUUUUUAUCGUAAGGGGACUUUUUUGUAUUGGUAUAUCAGAGUUGGAAUAAGCUUUCCUACAAUAGAAGUCAGAUUUGAGCAUCUAAACAUUUCAGCUGAAGCUUAUGUUGGAAGCAGGGCUUUGCCUACAGUCUUGAACUAUUGUGUUAACUUAGUGGAGGUAAAUGAUAUAUUAUAGCACAUACGAUUUUCCUGUCAAAUAUCACUACAUUCUUAAGAAGUUUUUUGUUUCUGUGCACCAAAGGGUUUCUUGAAUUCCAUCUAUAUUCUUCCCACUAAGAAGAAACACUUGUCUAUCCUUAAAGAUGUCAGUGGGAUCAUCAAGCCUGGCAGGUGAGACAAAAGGCUCUAACCUACCCAUGAAAUAAACUCUGUUAUGUUCAUCUUUUUUCAAUUCAGAAUUAGUCUUUGUGAACUAAUAUGCAUACUCAGUUGGGUUUUAACAAAAAAAUAAACUAUUCUGAGUACUCAGUUCAGUGCUUCCUUUUUCUUUUUUUCUUUUUUUUGUUGCAGAAUGGCACUGCUUUUGGGUCCUCCAAGUUCCGGGAAGACCACACUCUUAUUGGCUUUGGCUGGAAAGCUUCAUCAGGAUCUUAAGGUUAAAUAAAUGCAAUGCGCCAUUAAUUUCUCUCAGAUCUUCUAUCAAAAUUUUUUUUUUCCGAGCUUUACCCUUCAAAUGUCACUCUUUGUUUUUAACUUAUAAAGUAUAAUACUUGUCCAGUUUUCAGGAAGUGUGACUUACAAUGGUUAUGAGAUGCAUGAGUUUGUGCCUCAAAGGAGUGCUGCCUAUAUCAGUCAACAUGAUGUUCAUAUUGCAGAAAUGACAGUCAAAGAAACCUUGGCCUUCUCUGCAAGAUGCCAAGGGGUUGGACCCCGUUAUGGUUGGUUUAUAGGACUGCUUCUUACUUAGUUUCCUUUAAUUUCAAAGCCAGGCCAAUAUAUUAAAACAUGAUUGGUUAUGAUUUUGAAUUUUGGCAGAAAUGCUGGUAGAGCUAAAUAGAAGAGAAAGAGAAGUGAAUAUUAAGCCAGAUCCAGAUGUAGACAUCUUCAUGAAGGUGAGACAUAAGCUACUUUAUUUGAUUUAAGACUCUUAAAUUAAGAGGGUCUGUUGAAUAGUGCUUUAUGUUAGGAUUUAGGAGAUUCUGCUAUAUGUGAAAUUUUCCAAUAAGAUUUGAGACUUACUUUUUGCUUGUUCUGCGAUAUGCUUUUCAAAUCAUCGGACAUUUUUGUUUUAAUCGUUUACGAUAUUAUAGGCAAUUGCAACAGAAGGCCAGAAGGAAAUAUUGGUGACAGAUUAUAUUCUUAAGGUAGGAUCAAUAGCUCUUUAGUAAGAGAAGGACUUUCAGAACUUACCAUCAACUCAUCAAUAUCCAUUGAUUUGCAGAUUUUGGGAUUAGAUGCUUGUGCAGAUACCUUGGUGGGUGAUCAGUUAUUAAGGGGUAUCUCUGGAGGGCAAAAGAAACGAGUCACAACAGGUUAACAAACUCAAGUUCUUUACACGAAACUCAAGUUCAAAAAGUAAAGGUAUAAUUUUUUUUUGAUCAUAUGUAUAGGUGAGAUGCUUGUUGGACCUGCUAGAGCACUAUUCAUGGAUGAAAUAUCAACUGGGUUGGAUAGUUCAACAACUUACCAGAUUGUAAAUUCAGUCAAGAACUAUGUUCACAUCCUUAACGGGACUGCAGUCGUCUCACUGCUGCAGCCAGCACCUGAAACUUAUGAACUUUUUGAUGACAUUAUUCUACUUUCUGAUGGCCAAAUUGUGUACCAAGGCCCUCGUGAGCAAGUUCUUGAUUUUUUUGAAUCCAUGGGCUUUAAAUGUCCUGAGAGAAAAGGCGUAGCUGACUUCCUGCAAGAAGUAGGUCCAUAUUUAGCUCUUGUUUGAUCUUAUGAAAACAAUUGAGAUAAGCAUUAAAAGAGGAGUAUUAUGUAUUAAUUUCUCUUGUGUACCUUACAUGUUGUAGGUGACAUCAAGGAAAGAUCAGAAGCAGUACUGGACAAGCAGAGAUGAGCCUUACAGGUUCAUCACAGUCAAGCACUUUUCAGCGGCUUUUCAAUCUUUUUCUGUGGGGAAAAGAAUUACUGAGGAACUUGCAGCUCCAUUUGACAAGACCAAGAGCGACCCAGCUGCCUUAACGACCAAGAAAUAUGGUAUAAGAAAAGUGGAACUCUUGAAAGCUUGCUUUUCAAGGGAACUCUUGCUUAUGAAGAGGAAUUCAUUUGUCUACGUUUUUAAGCUCACUCAAGUGAGUUUUGAGUCUAUUUUAGUUUCUAUUAUAACCUUUUCUUUUUCUUCUGUGCACCUGGAUUUAAUAUGCAGUACUUCUUUUCCUUCUGUUUAGCUUGCAAUAAUGGCACUGAUCACAAUGACCGUAUUCCUACGGAUUGAUAUGGGCCGUGAUUCAGUAACUGAUGGAGGAAUAUAUGCUGGUGCUUUGUUCUACUCCUUCGUUACUGUUAUGUUCAGUGGAAUGUCAGAGAUUUCUAUGACUAUUGCCAAGCUUCCUGUUUUUUAUAAGCAAAGAGACCUUUUUUUUCCGUCUUGGGCAUAUGCCCUUCCCACAUGGAUUCUCAAGAUCCCUAUCACAUUUUUAGAUGUUUCUGUUUGGGUAUUUAUCACUUACUAUGUCAUUGGAUUUGAUCCCUGUGUUGAAAGGUAAUCAAGUACAAAAUUUUGUCACAUUCUCCUUCUUCUUUUUUUGUUCAUGCUUGUUGUUCUAGCCCAUUUAAUAUAUCAUUCUGAAAAUGAUGCAGGUUUUUCAGACAAUACCUUCUAUUCUUACUCAUUAGUCAGAUGGCUUCUGCGUUAAACCGAUCCAUUGCUGGACUUGGUAGAAGCAUGGUUGUUGCUUACACAUUUGGGUCAUUUGCACAGCUCAUGCUUUUUGCUUUGGGUGGCUUCGUCCUGUCAAGAGGUAUAAAAUAAGUAAAGUAAAGAAACACCACUUCAUCUUAAGUGCUAUACAAUGUUUUCUAAUGCCCUUUGGUUGAUGUCACAGAGAAUAUAAAGAAAUGGUGGAUAUGGGGCUAUUGGAUAUCACCGUUGAUGUAUGGUCAGAAUGCAAUCGUGGUUAAUGAGUUCCUAGGAAAGAGUUGGAGUCAUGUAAUUCCUUAAAAUUGACUAGCCAUUUCAAACACUUUGGUGUUUGCCCUUAAUAAUUAUAUUGUGUCCUUGCUAUUAAAAGGUUCUUCCAAACUCAAUGGAACCGCUAGGAGUUGCUGUUUUGAGGUCUCAUGGAUUCUUUACACAUCCAUCCUGGUAUUGGACUGGAGUAGGAGCUUUGAUUGGAUAUACACUCAUAUUCAACGUUUGUUUCACUGUGGCUCUCACUUAUCUAAACCGUGGGUGCCUUCACCUUAUCUGCUCUAACAAUUAGAUACGUGAGAAUUUUACUUAUAUUGUCAUAAAAAUAUUAUGCAGCAUUAGAGAAGCAACAGGCUGUUAAAUUGGAAGAAUCUCAAAGCAAAGAACAUGAUGAGAAGAGUGGAGAAGUUGGUUGGUCACAGAACAAAGGAAAUAGCUUGAUUCCACAAAUCAACUCAGGUGAUAUUGAUAUAUCCUCUCAGAUACUGUUUGUGUAUGUCUGUUUUCAGUGUAAUUGUUUAUCGAUGACCAAUAUUGUACUCUCUAUGCAGAUAAUGGAGAAGAGUGUACUAAUCAUAACAAGAAAAGAGGAAUGGUUCUUUCAUUUGAGCCGCAUUCCAUCACUUUUGAUAAAAUCACGUACUCUGUGGAUAUGCCACAGGUGAUAUAACAUGUUUGAGAUUGGACAAGUUUGCGCAACUCGAAAAUUAUGAGUAAUUUUGUGAAUCCAUCUUGCAGUCAAUGAAGAACCAAGGUGUUGUUGAGGACAAAUUGGUGCUUCUCAAGUGUGUUAGUGGUGCUUUUAGGCCAGGUGUUCUGACAGCCCUUAUGGGAGUGAGCGGUGCUGGUAAAACUACUCUAAUGGAUGUACUGGCUGGUAGAAAAACUAGAGGAUAUAUUGAGGGAAAUAUUUCAGUUUCUGGGUAUCCAAAGAAGCAAGACUCAUUUGCCAGAAUUUCUGGAUACUGUGAGCAGAAUGACAUCCACUCUCCUUAUGUUACUGUCUAUGAAUCCUUGAUGUACUCAGCAUGGCUGCGUCUAUCUACGAAGAUUAGUUCUGGAACCAGGAAGGUUGGUAUCUGCUAAUUAAGAAUAAUUUUCUACUCUUUAUUUUCUUUUAAUGCAAUUUAAAGUCAUGAGCAAGCUUGAACUGAUUUUCAGAAUUGGUUGUAGAUGUUCGUUGAUGAAGUGAUGGGACUCGUAGAGCUGAAUCCAUUAAGGCAAGCACUAGUAGGGUUAUCUGGUGAAAGUGGUCUCUCAACCGAGCAGCGGAAGAGGCUGACCAUUGCGGUUGAACUAGUGGCAAACCCUUCUGUAAUAUUCAUGGAUGAACCAACUUCAGGUUUAGAUGCAAGAGCUGCUGCUAUUGUUAUGAGAGCGGUUAGGAACAUUGUGGACACGGGAAGAACAAUAGUGUGCACUAUUCAUCAGCCAAGCAUCGACAUAUUUGAAGCUUUCGAUGAGGUGAAAACAGAUGUUGACUGAAAAGAUUGAAAUUGGAACUCCCAUGUGUUUUGUCUGUUCUAAGUGGUUAGCAUAUGUAACAUGUCAUUGCAGUUGUUUUUAAUGAAGCAAGGAGGACAGGAGAUGUAUGUAGGGCCACUAGGUCGUCAUUCUUGCCAUUUGAUCAAGUACUUUGAGGUAGAAUCUGAUUAAAACUCAGGAAAUUUCAAUGGUAAAAUAUGAUAUUCUUAUUUUUUCUGCUGCUUCUUUUUUCGGAAACAAAGUUUUCUUGUACUUCUGUGCAGGGAAUUGAGGGGGUGAGCAAAAUCAAGAAUGGAUACAAUCCAGCUACUUGGAUGUUGGAAGUUACCACUUCAGCAAAAGAAACGGCAUUAGGAAUUGAUUUUGCUGAUGUUUAUAGAAGUUCUGAAAUUUAUAGGUAGGUUUAUCAUACUGAAAAACCACCUACUGCACGAAAAGUAAAUUGCUGAAAAAAGCCAUAAGUAAAAUUUGUUGAUGAAAGCGAUUUUGUUUCAGGAGAAACAAAUCCCUUAUUGAAGAACUGAGUACCCCUGCUCCUGGUUCAAAGGACCUCUACUUCCCUACUCGAUACCCUCAGUCAUUUUUCACUCAAUGCAAGGCUUGCUUAUGGAAACAACAUUGGUCAUACUGGCACAAUCCGGAAUACAAUGCCAUAAGGUUGAUCUACACAACUGUCGUAGCCUUGCUGCUUGGGACAAUGUUCUGGAAUCUUGGUUCCAAAAUGUAAGUCAGAGUGUAGAAGUAAAAUAUAUGUAAUAGAAGUUGAGAUUCUUGCAUGAGUAAUUUUGAGUUUGUUAAUUUCAGGGAAAAACAGCAGGAGCUCUUUAAUGCAAUUGGUUCUAUGUAUGCUUCUGUUAUCUUUCUUGGUAUUGAAAAUGCCAUGACAGUGCAGCCAAUAGUGGCUGUUGAACGAACUGUCUUUUAUAGAGAACGAGCUGCUGGAAUGUAUUCUGCCUUGGCAUAUGCCUUUGCACAGGUGAGUUAUUCUAUAUGCAUUUUACAAACAAAGUUAUUACAAUGCAUCAUCUUGUCUUAUUUGUGUUUUGCUAAUUCAAUUAUUUGUUGCAGCUCACAAUUGAGCUCCUUUAUGUUUUUGCACAAGCUGUGAUCUACAGUGUCCUAGUUUAUGCGAUGAUUGGAUUUGAGUGGACUGUGGCUAAAUUCUUUUGGUACCUAUUCUUCAUGUUUUUCACUUGUUUGUACUUCACCUUCUAUGGCAUGAUGGGGGUGGCCUUGACACCAAACCAGCAUGUUGCUGGUAUAACUUCUAAUGCAUUUUAUGCAUUAUGGAACCUCUUUUCCGGGUUCAUCAUCCCACGAACUGUGAGUUUCUAGUACCGCAAGGUUUUUUUUUUUUUUCAGUUAAUAGAAUCUAUUUUGAUGACAAAUUUUCUAUCUGGUUCCUUUGGCUGUUAUCAGAG